rnacentral:rRNA from 1 species
AGUGAACGCUGGCGGUAGGCCUAACACAUGCAAGUCGAACGGCAGCACAGUAAGAGCUUGCUCUUACGGGUGGCGAGUGGCGGACGGGUGAGGAAUACAGCGGAAUCUACUUUUUCGGGGGGGAUAACGUAGGGAAACUUACGCUAAUACCGCAUACGACCUACGGGUGAAAGCAGGGGAUCUUCGGACCUUGCGCUAUUGAAUGAGCCGAUGUGGGAUUAGCUAGUGGGCGGGGUAAAGGCCCACCUAGGCGACGAUCCGUAGCUGGUCUGAGAGGAUGACCAGCCACACUGGAACUGAGACACGGUCCAGACUCCUACGGGAGGCAGCAGUGGGGAAUAUUGCACAAUGGGCGCAAGCCUGAUCCAGCCAUGCCGCGUGGAUGAAGAAGGCCUUCGGGUUGUAAAGUCCUUUUGUUGGGGAAGAAGAGAAGAAGGUUAAUACCCCGCCGCUUUGACGGUACCCACAGAAUAAGCACCGGCUAACUUCGUG